AUUGAACGCUGGCGGCAGGCCUAACACAUGCAAGUCGAGCGAGCGGCGGACGGGUGAGUAAUGUCUGGGAAACUGCCUGAUGGAGGGGGAUAACUACUGGAAACGGUAGCUAAUACCGCAUACCAUCAGAUGUGCCCAGAUGGGAUUAGCUGGUGGGUGGGGUAACGGCUCACCUAGGCGACGAUCCCUAGCUGGUCUGAGAGGAUGACCAGCCACACUGGAACGGCGACACGGUCCAGACUCUUACGGGAGGCAGCAGGGGGGAAUAUUGCACAAUGGGCGAAAGCCUGAUGCAGCCAUGCCGCGUGUGUGAAGAAGGCCUUCGGGUUGUAAAGCACUUUCAGCGGGGAGGCGUUACCCGCAGAAGAAGCACCGGCUAACUCCGUGCCAGCAGCCGCGGUAAUAC
rnacentral:rRNA from 1 species